CCUACGGGGGGCAGCAGUGGGGAAUAUUGGGCAAUGGGCGCAAGCCUGACCCAGCAACGCCGCGUGAAGGAAGAAGGCUUUCGGGUUGUAAACUUCUUUUCUCAGGGACGAAGCAAGUGACGGUACCGGAGGAAUAAGCCACGGCUAACUACGGGCCAGCAGCCGCGGUAAUACGUAGGUGGCAAGCGUUAUCCGGAUUUACUGGGUGUAAAGGGCGUGGAGGCGGGAAAGCAAGUCAGAGGUGAAAACCAUGGGCUCAACCGGUGGCCUGCAUUGGCAACUGUUUUUCUUGAGUACUGGGGCGGCCGCCGGCCUUCCUCGUGUCGCGGUGAACUGCGUAGGUAUUAGGAGG
rnacentral:rRNA from 1 species